GCAAGUCGAACGAGAUUUAUGACUUCGGUUAUAAUGAAAGUGGCGCACGGGUGCGUAACGCGUAUGCAACCUACCCUUUACUGGGGGAUAGCCCGGAGAAAUUCGGAUUAAUACCCCAUGGUAUUUACAGAUGGCAUCUGAAGUAAAUUAAAGAUUUAUCGGUAAGGGAUGGGCAUGCGUGACAUUAGCUAGUUGGUGAGGUAACGGCUCACCAAGGCAACGAUGUCUAGGGGUUCUGAGAGGAUGAUCCCCCACACUGGUACUGAGAUACGGACCAGACUCCUACGGGAGGCAGCAGUAGGGAAUAUUGGUCAAUGGGCGAGAGCCUGAACCAGCCAUGCCGCGUGCAGGAAGACAGCUUUCUGAGUUGUAAACUGCUUUUAUAUGGGAAGAAAAAGGUCCUGCGGGACAAAUUGCCGGUACCAUAUGAAUAAGCACCGGCUAACUCCGUGCCAGCAGCCGCGGUAAUACGGAGGGUGCAAGCGUUGUCCGGAUUUAUUGGGUUUAAAGGGUGCGUAGGCGGAUCUUUAAGUCAGUGGUGAAAUCCUGCAGCUUAACUGUAGAACUGCCAUUGAUACUGGAGAUCUUGAGUAUACUAGAGGUAGGCGGAAUUUAUGGUGUAGCGGUGAAAUGCAUAGAUACCAUAAAGAACACCAAUAGCGUAGGCAGCUUACUGGAGUGUAACUGACGCUGAGGCAC
rnacentral:rRNA from 1 species